rnacentral:lncRNA from 1 species
UUGCAUCAACAUCACAGACUUGUGUGUACUUGUUUUUGAUUGCCAGAAGGGCUCACUGUCAGUUACAGUCUUUCUAACUGUCUAGUUCCUGGCUCAGGAAAGACGGCCUUUGCUGUUGAAGCCACCUUACUCACAUGCUGUUUCUGUCACACAACUAAAAGAUCUCGUUUCCAUUCCCAGGUUUCUAUGAUAUGAUGUGUCUUUGUUCUUGACAAAAUAACACCUCAGCACUUACAACCUGGAAUAAAACCAUGUCACAGGAGGAGGGGAAAUCUAUGCACUGAACUAUAAAAUCUCUGGUGAUGACAGUUGUAUUGUUGCUCGUGAUCGGCAGAAUGCUCUAUUAUGUGGGAGUCGAUCCACUUUAAACUGAAUUACUGUAUGAAGUAUCUUUUUAAAAUACUGUCCCCUUUAACUUAGAUUCUGCCUUACAUCAGCGUUUUCAUGGUUUGUAACAAGUCAUCCGACUCUACUUUGCUGAGUACUUGCUUUCUAAUGGCAUAUGUGUGUAUAUACCCCUUGAAAUCAGCUGGUUUAUUUCUAUCGGAUUAUUAGCAAACUAUAACUCUAGCUGACUUCUCAUUUUUUAUAAUGAGGUCUGUUUUUUAAAUACUUAAUCUAGACAGUUUUAAAUAUUGGCAGUUGGGUCACAUAAAGGUGGGGAUUUGAACUCAUUUCCUGUAAGUAGAGGUGUUCUGUAAGGUGCAAGUAGAAAUGCAGAGAGAAAGGGAAGGAAAGUUUCCCGCUCAGGAAAGCAUGAGUUAAUAACAGAGACCCAGUCUGCCACUGCUGACGCUGGACCAGCAGCAGGGAGACAUAGAGCUCGCUAGCACAAACAGCGCCAGUGCCAGUGCCGGAACUAGAGUGUAGAGUGAAAGACCUUGUGUCCUUGCAUUGGAAGGGAUGAGAGGGAAAGGAGGGGCUCACGGUUAUCCAUAAUGAUGAACUAAAAAACUGUUGUUUUUCCAAGAAAGAUGGAACGUAUACUUUGGUGCGGUGUGUCUCAUAAAUGACAAAGGAGUAGCCGCUGUCUCUGUAGAGUCACAUGUGCACACAGCAAGCAGGUCUCUGUUCAGUGUAACAGUUGAAAAGAAAUAAUAAAUGCUGCAAUCUAAUAAUUUAAAAGAACUUUAAUGAACCAUCUAUUACAUUUUUUAAGUUAGAUAAUCAGUUUCAAAAGGAAUAUUCAGGUUAUUUAACAUUGUUUUUAAAUGGCUGUAUCAGAAAAAAUAUCUAUUUUUUUUUAAUUAAACUAUUUCAUCACUUGUUUAAAAAUGUAUUUUGGAUCUGAGUUUGGUGAUAUUAUUUCAGCUGCUGCUGUACUACCACAGAUUAUUGGCUUUUAGUUUCCUAAAGAGAAAAAUUGCCUUCUUACUAGAAAGCCUUUGUGUAUUGCCGGUUUUUCUGUUUGGGAAAAUCUAAGGAUUUACUGUGGUUAGUAGUACAGAAGAAAUGUGGAUUUGAUGAACUAGUGCCUAUGAUUUUAACUUAUGUUUGAUAUAUAGUAGUAGGGUUAUAAAUGUUGAUUAUUUUGUGCCAACAGCCCAGAAUUGUCACUUGUAUGUCAGCAGAAGCUAUGACCUCUGCUUCCAAAGUUAUUUAAUUUUCUCAGUGUUUGGAUGUUAUUUUUUGUAAGUGUGUUAAUAAAAGUGUAAAGAAUUGGAAAAAUAUAAAUAUUCUUAACUCAAGCAUUUGCUGAAUCAUUUUUCUACAAAACUUGUUUGUAUAAAACUCUCUGAAGAGUUGACUUUUCUCAGUUUUCAUACCCUGGAAAUCACAUUUUGUAAAACUGGGGACCAUUCAUAAAUGUCAGAUACUUUUUUAAAUUAUCUCAGAACAUCACUUUUAUAUAUAGAUAUAAAAAAUUUUUUUGAAAGCAAAGAAGAUUAAAUACAUAUGUGGCCCAGAUGUUUGUAUACCUCUAGGAUGAUCUAGACUAUGUAUGUUCAGAUUGACGUAACUCACUGUACAGGUGUCCGGUUUUGACAGUAUGAUGCAUGGUCCUUUUAGAUCACAUGAAGUUUGAUUUGCAAACAUUUCUAUAGCUGAACUUGUAAUAUGUGGUUGCCUCCUUAAUAAACAGCCUGACCAUAAUGUUUAUUAUUAAAUCU